ensembl:lncRNA
AUAAUACCACAGAGCCUUAUCGUAGGGAUCAUCCUUACAAAUGCAUCAUGAUCUCUCACGAUCCAUGAACCUAUGUACUGUGAAAUAAUGCUUUCCUACGAAUGAUCUCAGCGCGGUUUCCCUUUGUUACGCCUUGAAGGUGAAUUCACCGAUUUUACACAUUGGAAUAAUCCCUUAGAAGAAAACCUUCUUUCCAUACGAGGAAUUGGAGAAUGUGUGACUUACUUGUGGCAGCAAGCUGAAGAUCUGACUCAUUUUAUGUAAAAGAUGGAAGAUCAGGUCACGACUCUCGGCCCGGAGCUAAACAAGCUGUUCUUCAGAACCCUCCACUGCCUAUGUGAAAAAAGACAGAAAAGUAAAGAUGGCAAAAUU